rnacentral:rRNA from 1 species
GAUCCUGGCUCAGGACGAACGCUGGCGGCACGCCUAACACAUGCAAGUCGAACGGAGAAAAUAGCUUCGGUUGUUUUCUUAGUGGCGGACGGGUGAGUAACACGUGAGGAACCUGCCUUUGAGAGUGGGAUAGCUUCUGGAAACGGAUGGUAAUACCGCAUAACAUAGUGAAACCGCAUGAUUUUGUCUAUCAAAGUAAUUUCGUCUCAGAGAUGGCCUCGCGUCUGAUUAGAUAGUUGGUGAGG